GCGAGAAUGUCUACACACCACGGUGGUAGGCAGAGUGUAUUUGUAAAUUCAGUAACCCACCAGUACGUGUAAACGCACGCAAAAAUCCCUUUGUGGCAAUGUGUCUCGGCUGGUUAUGGUACACCAAUCUGACGUAUGGUUAUCAGUAAUGUUCCCGUACGUCAUUUAGAGAGUGGUUACUCUUACC
ncrna:unclassified sequences RT-7 RNA